CCUACGGGAGGCAGCAGUGGGGAAUAUUGGACAAUGGGCGAAAGCCUGAUCCAGCCAUGCCGCGUGUGUGAAGAAGGCCUUCGGGUUGUAAAGCACUUUCAGUGGGGAAGAAAGCCUUGGGGCUAAUACCCUCGAGGAAGGACAUCACCCACAGAAGAAGCACCGGCUAACUCCGUGCCAGCAGCCGCGGUAAUACGGAGGGUGCGAGCGUUAAUCGGAAUUACUGGGCGUAAAGCGCGCGUAGGCGGUCUGAUAAGCCGGUUGUGAAAGCCCCGGGCUCAACCUGGGAACGGCAUCCGGAACUGUCAGGCUAGAGUGCAGGAGAGGAAGGUAGAAUUCCCGGUGUAGCGGUGAAAUGCGUAGAGAUCGGGAGGAAUACCAGUGGCGAAGGCGGCCUUCUGGACUGACACUGACGCUGAGAUGCGAAAGCGUGGGUAGCAAACAGGAUUAGAUACCCUUGUAGUC
rnacentral:rRNA from 1 species